rnacentral:tRNA from 1 species
GCGGCCUCGGUGCGCGGCAGCGGCAUCGCCUCGCCGCUGGCGGCGCCGCCGCUGAAGGUGGCGGUGGCGGGGUAGAAGACCCCGUCGCCGCGC